GACACAGACCCAGAGGAGCUGGAGGAUAGCCAUGACCUCAGGCGAGUGACUUCACUCCUCUGGGCCUUCCUUUCCUUGGCUAUAAAAAUGAUAGGAUCGGGGUAAAUAAACUUUAAGGUGUUUUCCAGUUCUAAAAUAUUAUAAUUCUAAGAGAAAAUAAGUUAGCUGGAUUGGGACAAAAAGAGCCAAUAUUUUUAUCACUUAGAGUAAAGCCAGUUGUCAGCCUCUUGUUUAUUAAAUGUUUGCAUGGCUCCUUCUCGCCCUCUGGGCUGGGUGUCAGGGGCACAGAUGAGUACAUUGUGGUCCUUGUCCUCAAGAAGCACACAGGCUGGGGUGCCGGGAGAGACAGGCGUGUAAACAGAUCAUUAAAAUGCAAUGUCGCAAGGGCUCUGGGAGAGUCACAGACAAGGAGCACAGGGCAGGAAGUGACUAACUCACCCUGGGAGACGUCUCACAGAAGAAGUACUGUUCAACACGAGCCUGGAAAGCAUCCUGAUGAAUCCAAUAACUUUGGCUGGUGUUGCUUCUAAGCUGCCUGGACCAGAAGCAGCCACUUUCCACUGAGAGCCAGAAGCCAAAAUCCGAACUGUUGUCGUGAGGUCACAAGGGUGAUCUUAUAUACGGUGCCAUCUAUUCCAUCUCAGGCCAUUCCUGUGCAGCUGCUUCGAGCUAAAACUCCUCCACGCUCCACUUCUGAUUUUCCAGGGUUUCCCUGUCUGUCAGUUUCAGCCUGCCCCCUCCUGUUAUUUUUAGAUUUGAUUUUAGUCCUUAUAAAGGGCCAGGGGUGAGGAUAGGGAGAAAAUUUUUUUCAUUUUAAUUAAAAGCAGAUGACAAAGACAACUCAGUCAUGGAAAAUAACAGGAGUCACACUGUCUCUGGCUCCCAUUCGCGUAUUUCCUCCAUCAGCUGCAAGCGAGCAGAGAAGCAACAACGCUAAUUGAGUCUCCUCUGCCUUUUCCAGAAGACACACAUGAUCUAAGCAGAUCUCACCCGAGAUUCCGUUAGAGAGCUGCACGUGCUCUCCUUCCCUUUCCAUUCCCCCUCACAGAGUGAUUGCAUUUUAGAGCUG
rnacentral:lncRNA from 1 species